rnacentral:pre_miRNA from 1 species
UAUUAAAAUUUUCAUCCGUUUAUUCUGUUAAUAAUUGGUUUGGUUAAUGGUACCUUAUAUUAGUGUACAAUGACCAAUUUUAACCGUAGAAAUGGAUGAAAUUUUUAACA